rnacentral:rRNA from 1 species
GUCUUUGGCACGGAAAUCCCAGGGCUUCUGUGAUGCGCUCUCGAAGAGUCGAGUUGUUUGRGAAUGCAGCUCAAAAUGGGUGGUGAACUCCAUCUAAAGCUAAAUAUUGGCGAGAGACCGAUAGCGAACAAGUACCGUGAGGGAAAGAUGAAAAGCACUUUGGAAAGAGAGUGAAACAGUACGUGAAAUUGUUGAAAGGGAAACGCUUAAAGUCAGUCACGUCGACCGAGACUCAGCCUUGCCUAGGCUUGGUGUACUUCUCGGCUGAUGGGUCAGCAUCAAUUUUGAUCCUCGGAUAAUGGCAAUGGAAAGGUAGCACCUUUACAGGUGUGUUAUAGUCCUAUGUCGCAUGCGGGGGUCGGGAUUGAGGAACUCAGCAUGCACCCCUUGGUGUCAGGGCCUCUGCGGCCCAUGUUACGUGCUUAGGAUGCUGGCAUAAUGGCUUUAAACGACCCGUCUUGAAACACGGACCAAGGAGUCUAACAUACCCGCGAGUGUUUGGGUGGAAAACCCAUGCGCGUAAUGAAAGUAAAAGUUGGGACCUCUGUCGUGGAGGGCACCGACGCCUGGACCAGACCUUCUGUGACGGCUCUAC